UCGUGGAUGCAUAUCGUGUAUGGCAUUAGAAAAGGAGGGACUUGCGCGCCCGCCUCCGCCGCCGCCACCGGCCCCUUACCACCGCCCCCACGCGCCGCAGGUUCGUAGGCGCUUUCUCGUAGGGCAGUAAACAUUCGGGGUUGUCUGGUUGUAUGUAUAUGCUUGGUUAACUGAUCGAGGUGGCGUGCGUGCGUGGCUGUUUGCAGGUCUCGGCACCGGGAGGGACGGCUCCGGUGGUGUACGGCGGCGGGAGCAAUGGUGGUGGCGUGCCGUCGCCGUGGCAGGUGAGCGGACGCGACCUCUGUCGCUGCUCCUCCCUUCUUUCAAUCCCUACCUUUUUUUGUUUUUUUCCCCUUGUUGGCUUGUGAGUUCGAUCUGUGCACCCUUUUUUGACGCAGAUUGCUUCCUGCAGUGCAAGCAGGCGAUGGCCACCGAGGUCACGUUCGUGCUGCCGUCCGCCGCGCCCAAGGCCGUGUCGUCAUCGCCUGGUGGCGCCGCCGGCGACGAGACCGGAGGGUAACUAAGAGCUGCAUGUCUACAUCCCUGCUCUGUUUAUUUCUUUUGGCUAUUAACUGUACUAGUAAUAUCUAUCUAUAAGUAUUGAUCAGGGCCUGCUCUGGGUGAUGCUGCUCCCACGCUUGGGCUCUGAAUUAGAGCUCUUUUAUGGUACCCACUCAAUCCAUUAGUCAAGUACAUCGACGCUGGUAGAGUUCCAGCGGCCACUGCCGAGCCUCCUUCUCAAUUAGGUCCGACAACCAUGAUGCAUUGCGGACGUCAAGGUGAUAUCCACCGGCGACGCUUGCUGGCGGGGGCUCGCCACCGGCAUCCACAAGCUCGCUGAUGCCGUCUCGGUCACUCUCGUUCCAAAGGUGUGUGUUUUUUUUGCUUGCUUCCUUCUGGGUCAGAAAAUUGCUUGUUUUCUCACUAUCGUAACUGCUGUCUUGCAACUGUAAAGUUCUUGCGAAUUUGAUAGUGAAAUUCAAUGUUAUGUGAAUUCUAAAUCUUCCAAUGAAUAGUUUUAGUCUCAUAUACAGUGUACUAGUGGAUAUUGCAAAUGGACUUGACACACUGUUACUUCAGAUAUAGGAUCGCCAAAUGAUGCCCUCUGCGUGCUUGCUCUUCCUUGUUAAAUCUGUUACCAUUUGUUCAUUGAUAUAGAUGCUGCUCAUGUUGUUGGGAUCACAUAUGCCUGAACAAUUUGUUUUAUUGUCUUGUAGUGCUAUUGAUUGCUGAGAACAUAAAGGUUUGCUGCAGGGAGGAAUGUUGUUAUUGAUGAAGAUGAUGUUCGUAAAGUAAUUAACACAAUUAAGCUUGUAAUGUACCCCCGCAAAGUGUGCCUUUAUUUUCUUUAAUAUUUUGAUGGAAUCUAAGUUUGAUCCAGAAAGUUCUGAUUUUUUUGCCAAUAUAUUGGAUGGGGUUGAUGGUACAUGACCUAGCCCUGAUAGAAGAGCACAUCUAUUUGAUGUAGAACUCAGGCAGAGCAUUAGUUCUUUUCUUUCAGUUGAUCAAUUAGCCGUGACAGGAUCUUAUCUUUCCCAUGGUCUCACGCAUUUACGCUGCCCACUGUCUUUGUACUGUUUCCAGGAGGCCUCUAGAUUCAGGAAUCUCAUGCCCACUGUUAAGAGUGGCUCACCGCUGCAUCUUAACAAGGAAUGACUCCUACAUCGUGGCAGGGAUGUUUUUAGUAAUGUUGUCAACUAAUUGUUGCUAGAAUGUAACACGUACGACUGAUAUCAAGUUUCUAAUGAAUGAAAUCUUUAAUUUCUAAGAAUGAGGUGGCUAUUUCUUUCUCUGCGAUAUAUUGAGAAGCUUCUUCCCAAUUGGUAAUUUGUAUUUUGUCCUUAAAGUUUCAGCACAUAUGGCUUCUGUGCCUAUAAGAUUAUUUUAGGGAUUUAUUCCCAAUAUUUUGUGUUUGCAAGUUCUAUGGUCACCUAGCACCGAAUUAUUAUUUCCCCGUGAACUCAUUAAAUUCUGCUCUUUGGUAACCAACACAUAUAUGUGUAACUUUAUGAAAAUUGAAGUCCCAUGUUUUAUGUGUACUGGCAACAACCAUUCUAUUACAAAAAUAGAUGAGCGCGACAACGCGCGCCUUCCAUGAUCUAGUACUGAUAAUUAUUGACUACAGUUAAGGUGUUGGGGGUCAGUCCCCGAGUCUGGUAUAUGCAUUUUUUAUUUAUGCAGUUGUCCAUCUAAAAUGUUUGAAAGUGUAGCUCUCUUGUGAUAUCAGCUGAUGCCAGUGACAUUUGCCAUUACAGAAGAUGAUCAGACUGCUUGGCAGCUUGACGGUCGAAAAGAAAAACUCUGUUCAG
rnacentral:lncRNA from 1 species